CACUGUUUAACCUGUUUUUAUGGGCAAGACAUUACAGUGCACUUGGUGUAUGAAGGUAUAUUUCUCAGACCCAGAGUGUGUGGCCCAGUACCGGGAGACCCUCUGGGAUGAGGAGUAUUAUCUCCAUUGUGAAAUGCUCUCCAAACUGCUACUACAAUGUUUCUAGACAUCAGUCACCUGUUACUUUGAAUCACACCUAAAUUGACUGUUGACAUGUAUUCUGCUCUACAAAACCAAACAAAAACUGUAGACAGACCACUCAUUGCUCGUAGUGUUAAAAAAAACUAUAUAUAUGAUAAUAUUCGCUGUGUGACCUUCUCAGCUGGCUGUUUCAAGCCAGUAGUCCGCCACUAGGUUAAAUCAUACCAACACUGCAAUCACACUAAUGUCCUUUUAUUAAUACAAAACAAAAGCAAUCUCAUAAUGCUUGAUUGUCACUUUAACUAACUUUUCCCAGCCUCUUUUUGGAAGAGAGCAGUCUUUUUCUAACUGUAUUGCAGGUCUGCCAAGCCCCUCUGUGACAGCCUGGAUCAGCCACACCCGCACUUCAUCCAUAGAGCUCAGGUUGUCCAUGUACGAAGACGCCUUGCAGGUUUGAAAUGUAAUGUCAAGUUGUACAAAUUAUUGUGUAUACAUGUCACUGCUAAGUCUAGUCCUCACAGCCCCAGUCAGUUGGUCAGAGGAAGGAUGGCAACUUCUCCAGUGGGCACAAAAAUGAAGGACGUGACACGCUCCAGACCAAGAAGACCAAUGGGCAACUGUCAGGAAGACCCCAGCCACCGAAACAUUGAGCAUCUGCAUAGGACAUGAGGACACAGGCACGGCAGCCGAGGAGACUGAAGAUGGCCAGGCAGAUCAAUGGCACCCCUGCUGAGGAAACAAAGCAGCAACAAAUGAAAAAGUUCAGAUACCGCAGAAGACUCAAGAAGAAAACAACCAAAGAAAGGAACAAGAGCUCCACUGAGGACAUGUUAGUUUUGUGGCACAGAUUUCAAUUGGUCCUGUGCACAAUCAUAGUGAGUGGACAUUGUUCCAUCCCCAGUUAGGUUUAAGAGCGGGUUCCCUUUGGAACUCGUUUGGGGGGGGGUGUUAGUGUGGCAUGAACGUGGUUAGAGCAUUUGUCUCGGGAGCACAUCCGAAGCUACAGGUGGGUCACCAUUUUAUGGUUGCUUUACCAGGCUAUCGGGCUACAGUGCAUAAGUACCCGCCACAAGUAGCGCCUGAAGACUAGGGAGGAGCUUAGUUAGAUUUCAGUGUGUUGCUCUUCUACUGUAAAUAAAUGUUGUUCCUCACAAAACAUUUGGUGUUUCA